rnacentral:misc_RNA from 1 species
UAGUUUAGCAUUUCCGGUCACAAUCUACCUCUUGAAACAAGAACAAUAUUUUUACAAGCUUGUUAUUGAUUGUAAUAUAACAAUAGCCAAUACCAAACACCUCCUCCACAGCUUGAAGCAUAAAGAAUUUAUGUUCCGUCAG